UCGCAUGUUGAUGUCGGUGCUGCUUAGCUGAUUACUGAACUCUUAAUAUGACAUGUAAAAGAAGGUUAUACUGUGCUUAUGAAGAAUGUGUUCCAAACACUACGUUGCUCUAAGUGCAGUAGUUGCAGACUGUGAGCCAAAUAAUGGACAUUCCUUUCUAAAAUGUUUGGGAGUCAAAGAUUGGUUUGUGGUUUAACUUGUUUGGUGGUCGUUGUACCACGCCGUGCAUGAUGUUCGUUCGAUGCUUGAUGGCUGAAAAUGUAAAGGUCAGGGAAGGAGCAUAUCCUUGGCCAAAAAAAAGGGAGUGUAUCAGUGGCCAAAACAGUGGAAGGAGCGAAUCUGUGCUGACGUUUUGAUUUGAGCUGGGAUGUUGACAAUAUAAGAUGUUUAUCAGUUGCCCACCUCAAGAUGAGUUUGGGUUUUCCAAUCUGACAUUGCAUUCUAGAAAUCUCAAGUGUCGUCUUGCUAAGAUUUGAUAUAAUGCUCGAUGAACAUCCGAUUUGCUGGCAAGUUGUACUAGUCUUAAGGACCAUUGACAAUCAUGUGACGAGAUUCAGAAUUCAGCAAAAGAGGGGGAAAAGGGUUACCAAAUGUGCAUGUAACAACAUUCUUUGCAAUCCCUAUCUUAAGACAUCGGUAUAUUCCACGAAGCUAAGGAAAAAGAGCUUAUGUAUCCAGUAUCUGUAAGCCUCCUGUCGAGAAAGCAGGAUGCGUCCGGCCUCUGCCUGCAUUACCAUUUUCUCUUUGGUCGGAAAAGACGUCUGGAUUGCCACCAAGCCUUGACAUUCGGCUACCGUGACUCCUUUGGUGCACUUGGAAAUACCCAAAUGUCUGAGGACCAAGUCAAGAAAGAGAACAAACAUUGGAUAAUCAUUGGAAGAAUCAUGAAGUGAUACCUCUAUAUCCAGCUUCCUUUGUUCAGAUAUUUUCGGCUUCCAUGGCCCAGGUGGACUGGUCGAAACAUCUACAUGCGUAGCAUCUGCAGCAGGAAGAUCACAAUCAUCCGCUUUUGUCUUUAGUUUUAGGAAGUGCUGUCUACAUUUUAGAGGUAAUGCGUCCUAUGCUGUCUACAUUUUAGAGACAAUGUUUUCUGGGAUCACUUGAGCAGCUAUGAAGAGGUAAGGGAGUAAAACCGUGAUCCUCGGGUGCAUGGGUGUCCACCCUACUUACUCUAUGUGCUAUCGGCAUCAGAUGACAUGGUUGUAAAGCUCUAGGACUGGGAGAAGGACUAGAUGUGUACUCAAACAUUUGAAGGAGAUUCACAUUAUGUGAUGUGAGUAGCAUUUGAUCCUCAAGAUCCUAAUGCUUUUGCAAGUACAUCACUCGAGGGAAUUAUAAAGAUUUGGAAUGUGCACUCCUCUACGCCUAAGUUUACUUCACACGUGCAUGGGAAAGGGCUGAACUUUGUUGAUCACUUCUCGAGGGAUGAUAUGCUGUAUUUACUGAGUGGUUCAAAUGAUUACACUGCUAAGGUUUGGGCAGAAGCUGUGUACAAACACUCGAGGGACACGAGCACAAUGUUACCGCCAUAUGUGCGCAUCCUAAUCUGCCAAUAGUAAUCAUUGGUUCAGAGGAGUAGACUCUUCGUUUAUGGGAUGCAAAUGGCUUUGGGUAUGCAUUGUGGGAGUUUGUACAGUCAUAGCAUGCUCUAGAAUGUAGCUUCAGUUACAGCAGGCGAAUGAAAAUAUCGCCUCUAUCUUUUCCAGAUUUUCCAGAACUUACCAUAGGAUAAGACUGUUUAUGUCCCUGGAUUCUUUGUUGUUUUGUGAAUGACUCUUGACUUUCUGUCGCAUACAGGCUUAAGCACGUACUGAAAUUUGGUCAUGGAAGGAUUUGGGAUAUUUCAUAUCAGAAAGGUUCCCGCUGAUAACAUUCAUACCUGCUCUAAAUGCUUCAUUUCCUCAUUAUAUCCAUGCUCCGACAAUAAUAAGCUAUUAUGAUGGUCCGAGGUUUUCCAUUGCCUCUAUAAAGACAUUCAUGUAGGCUCUGUGGUUUCAGUACAAAGAUAAAAUCUUCCAUAUCCGUUGUCUCCCAUUUUUGUGGCUUUCACUCUGCCGGGUUGCAGUUGCUUGCAUCGAGGGAAUAGCUGUGGUCGAGAUAGUGUGCUGAUAGCGUGGAGCCUUCAGCCAAAUUCUAUGUUGGAUAAAACAGAUCCCGACCUCUACAACUGUUACUUUCAAUUUGAAGUUCAAAUAAAAGUGCAUAUCGUUCUUCUGUCAAAAAAAGAAAGUGUCGCUUUGUACGAGUUUUACUCUUUGCGUCCUACCAGUGAUAGGAUUUUCCAGUGUAACCCAAAGAUCUCAUACUUUCCUUUUGUGGUGUAUCCUGGUGAAAGUUCGUUUACGAUC